rnacentral:lncRNA from 1 species
UGUUUUCUACACAACUGCCUGUUGCUACAAGGAGUGGCUAGUGUUAGGUGUGACGAAGGAGAUUUUUCUGGGUGAUAAUCUCCUUAACUUGUUGGAGCAAACCAAUCAUGUUUGUAAAUUCCUAAGUAAACAUCACAUAGAAAGUCUUUGGGUGUUGAUGGUUCUUCUAGAAAGUUCAACCUUUCAGAAAGUUCCUCCACCUGAUGGCAGUCUCAUAUUCCAUCGCCUGGAGAAGCAGCAUCGCUGCCAUUACCUUUCGGGACUGGCCAUGAGACAUACGUACACCUCUAUUCUUUUUUUUAAAUAUUUUUAUUAAAACUAAGCAUAGAGUAGAUGUGUUUCAUGUUUUUACCCAGCUGCUUCUUGCUGCAAGGAGUGGGUGGCUAGUGUUAAGUGUAACCAAGGAGGUUUUUCUGGGUGUCUUCAGAUGAGCGCCUUCUUGUCUUUGUUGUUUGCUUUAGGGAAAACAAAAGAGACCGAUGUAGAAGCCUUGCAAGUUUAAUCUUUGCUGGAUGAAUGCGUCCGAUUUUAGGGCGAUUGUAAGGCUUGAUUCCUUCAUCAAACCAAUUGGAUUUCAUUUUUUCAUUCAAGUUUUGGUCUUCCGUUUUUUCCUCCUGGAAAGCUUACGCUUUAUUAGAUCUCUCCUAAUUUUUUUAUCAGUUUCUGCUAGAUACGCAGUGAAAAGUCUUGACUCCACACCUUCUUAUUUGUUUUUUAUUAGCAGAUAUUUUUUAAGAUUUUACCAUGUUAUUUAGAUGCUUG